UGAAACUAGGAUAAUGUUCGGUCCUUGUCAUGUUGCAAUUACACUGUUUAAAACAAACAGGACCAUCCGUUCUUGGCUACAUUCUGCCAACCCAUUAAGGCACAGUCACAUCCAGCUGGACUCGGCGACAACUCCAGCCGUCACUGUCAGUGCCUGAGGACUUAAGUGGAUGGAGGGGGCCAGAGACCAAACUUAACACAGGAUUCUGUAGCAAGUCUGAACGGGAGAAGCCUCCCUCCUGAGGGAGAAGAUGAAGUCUGAGUAACAGGAAGUAGAAGACUGGCAUAACUGCUGUUGUAUUAAAUAGAGUAAGCGCAUUGCUUCUUGCUGUUUCCAAGCUGCUGUCUUGUGAAUAGCAGUGACGAAAGCCUCCUGCACACUUCCCGGGCACUCGUCAUCUUCUGACCUUAGGUUUCUUCCACGGGUGUCCUGAAGGCUGGCUCCUCUGCCCGCUUAUCUCGGUGGAGUUCAGGAAGGCCCUAAGACGGCUGGUGCUUUUCUAUGGUAAUCUGCUUGGGCUCCUAAUAACAAAAACUUUUUGCCGUACUUCCCUUCUGUGGCCAUGAACAUGUCUGUCCUGAGUUGAUCUGGCAUUGCUCUAUUUUAUUUCCAGCUUCAUCCCUCUCUUCCUUUAGGGGAUCUAAUUUUGACUGAAGCCCCUGCAAGUGGGUGCCUGAAGAUUGGCAAGCUUGGUUCCAUCAGGCUCUGACCCAAACCCCGACCGUCACCGGUUUAGCAAGCUGCCUCCUCUGUGGCAGGGCGUUGGGAAUUUCAGCCUCCGCUGUGCUGUAGAGAAGGUCCAUGACCUCCUUUUCCACGAAAACUUUGUGCUGAGGGCGCUCAAGAGCCCGCUGAGUCCCAGCAUUUCCACAGGGCUGGGGUCUUCCCUAAGAGAUUCUUCCAGCUGAGCGGGUGCUUCUCGCAUAUUCUGAGCAAGCCCUGGCCCUGGAAGCAGGAAAUCAGAUGCUUUUGAGAAGGGUGGCACAGGCUGGGACUCGGGUUUCACUUAAUUUGGAAAACUUUUUAGCACUUUCUGUCUCUUCCUUAUGUUACUUAAAUUUUUUCUCCUAUUAUUUUUUUCUGUAUUUGUUUUUAUCUUCUAUUUUACUCAUCCUCUUUUCUAAACAAUGUUAAAGCCAUCUAUUGAGUUCAUACUUUUAAAUAUUGUAUUUCGCAUUCUAGAGUUUCCAUCUUUGAAAAAUAGAAUUUAAUUUUCUGGUAAGAUUUUUGAUGUACUAAUUAUAGAUAUUUUAAAAUCUGGGCACAAUAAUUCCAAGUUCUAAAACCCUGUGAACAUGGAUUUGUCCAUUUUUUCUUUUGUUUGUAAUCAUUUAGCCAACUCCUCACUGACCUAAUAAGUGUGAUCAAGUACCAAAAAAAGUGUAGAAAACUUUUUAAGGAUAAUUUACGGCUCUAGUUAAUUUUGUUUAUGUCCAGGAUUUACUUUUGCCUCCUAGCUAAAGGAGAAUACAUCACUUUUAACCAAUUUGGGAUCCAACUGGUUAGAAGCUGAUUUCCAUUCCUCCUUAGGGCUGACCUGUUUCUCAUUGCUUUUCACCCCUGGUUUGAAUCCCUCUGAGAACAAAAGGGGAAUUCAUACAUUUUUCACAUAGGCCCUUUUCCUUUAGAGGUAGGAUUCCAGUUUUUGCUGCCUGAACCCUAUGUGAAGAUUAUAAGACUAUUUCAGCUUCACCUUUUAAUCUUCUAGCUUCUCUCUGACUAUGGAUAAGCAAAUGCCUUCAGGAAACUGCCCUUUCUUUGGUAAUCCUUGAUUCUUAACCCUUGAAUGCCUUCAUAAUCUAAGACUUUAAGUUUUGUCUCUGUGGGCAAAUAAGGCUGAGGGGCUGUUUAGUUUAUUGUCCCUGCAGCUCUUGUUUUAUACAAGGCUGUGCCAUUUAUAAAUUGACAAGUGCCCAGGAAGGAAAAUGUCUCAGAAUGUCAAGCUUGGCUUGAUAUGCUUCCUCACCCUCUAACAUCCUAACUCCUAUGUAGUUAUUGGAUGUAUUUAUAUUGUUGUCUAGCUUUUCUCAUUCUUGGUAAGAAAGCAAGUCUACAACCAGGUACUUUGCAAAUACCGAAAGUGGGUACACCAAAUAAAUAUUAUCAUGUGAAGAAAAUACCUGUCUCUUACAUUGUGAAUAGUCCUUUAACAGGAAUGGGUACUGAAUUUUUAGUUUUAUAAAUAAAAAGAAAUUAUAAAUUUUUGACUUUGGUUGAAUUAAUUAUAGGAAUAAAUUUUGUAAUACAAUUAAGACUGUCUAGUGUUUUUCAAUUACAGACACUUAAACUAAGAGGAUUACUGUAUGAUGGAAUUUAUUAUGUUUAAUAUUUAUUUGGGGCUCUAAAAUGUAUCUUUGUAAGGAAAUCUCAGCUUUAGCUUUCCAGCGCAGGUUUUUGACCUCUUAAAUAAAAAUCUUAAGAAAUCUCAGAGUUUAAUGUUUUAAGUAGUUGCUUUUUUGUUUGAGUUUUUAUUAUUACAUUAUUUUAUUGUAUUGUUUUUAGAGAGUAUGUCCUGCCAAAUAUGGUGGCAUCAUCCAAUCUGCUGAAAAUCUGAAGAGAACAAAAGGCUGAGGAGAAAUCAGCCCCUGGUGUUUUCUGCCCACUGCCUGAGCUAGAACAUAGCUCUAAGAAACCUUUAAGAAAUUUGUGUGUGUUUACAGACCACUCUUUCCCUUUCUGUGAACCUUGUGUGUUCUUUUCCAAUUUCCUAAUUUUUUAAAUUAACUUGAAAAAUAUUUUAUAGUGGGGUUAUUAAACAUUUAUCAAUUACAAUCAAUUACUAGCUAUUGUAACUAGCUUGAGUGAGCUAGGAGAGACAGAUGGCUGAGCUGCCAAUGUCAGAGCAGCUCGUUAAAGCAAUAAGCCAAAAAGAAGAGUCAAGCCUUUCAUUACUUACUGCCUUUAGUGUAUGCAAGAGACCAAAGGCAGAGAAAGCACUCUCUGCCCCUGCACACAUGAAGAGUCAAAUGGGUCAUCACACACACAGAAGUUGUCACUGUUGAGGAACGUCCAAGCCAAUGUCUCCAGAAGCUUUCUGAACUCAAGGGAGAAGAGAAGGGAGCAGGGAGGAAGAAGAGGUAAAAAUGGAAAAGUAAGUGGUGUUGAGUCAGCGGAGAAAGUGUGUCCUCAGGCUUUCCCUGUCCUUUUUCCUUCCCUUAGGAGAUCUCCUCACAGGUCCCAGAACGCCUCUACCCCAAGGUCUCAGAGAAAGUAACCUGGGAAAGAAAGUGCUUCAAUGCAAAUAUGCACAAAGCCUGAUCUGCCAGAUGGGCCUGAGGCCCUGACUAUAGCUCCCUUCUGAGAAUGCAAGGCACCGGCCUUGGGCCAAGCCCAGCGUAGGAAGAGCAGCUUUCCUAGUACAGCUGCCAAGUAAAGCCUUUGUAAUUUCCCAUGGUGGCCCCGAAAAGACACAGGGGGGUCAACGAGAAGCUGGAUUGCUGCUCAUCAGUGUUUGCCAAUAUCUCCUUC
ensembl:lncRNA